rnacentral:rRNA from 1 species
AGAGUUUGAUCAUGGCUCAGGAUGAACGCUGGCGGCGUGCCUAACACAUGCAAGUUGAGCGAUUCUCUUCGGAGAAGAGCGGCGGACGGGUGAGUAACGCGUGGGUAACCUGCCCUGUACACACGGAUAACAUACCGAAAGGUAUGCUAAUACGAGAUAAUAUACUUUUAUCGCAUGGUAGAAGUAUCAAAGCUUUUGCGGUACAGGAUGGACCCGCGUCUGAUCAGCUAGUUGGUAAGGUAACGGCUUACCAAGGCGACGAUCAGUAGCCGACCUGAGAGGGUGAUCGGCCACAUUGGAACUGAGACACGGUCCAAACUCCUACGGGAGGCAGCAGUGGGGAAUAUUGCACAAUGGGCGAAAGCCUGAUGCAGCAACGCCGCGUGAGCGAUGAAGGCCUUCGGGUCGUAAAGCUCUGUCCUCAAGGAAGAUAAUGACGGUACUUGAGGAGGAAGCCCCGGCUAACUACGUGCCAGCAGCCGCGGUAAUACGUAGGGGGCUAGCGUUAUCCGGAAUUACUGGGCGUAAAGGGUGCGUAGGUGGUUUCUUAAGUCAGAGGUGAAAGGCUACGGCUCAACCGUAGUAAGCCUUUGAAACUGGGAAACUUGAGUGCAGGAGAGGAGAGUGGAAUUCCUAGUGUAGCGGUGAAACGCGUAGAUAUUAGGAGGAACACCAGUUGCGAAGGCGGCUCUCUGGACUGUAACUGACACUGAGGCACGAAAGCGUGGGGAGCAAACAGGAUUAGAUACCCUGAUAGUCCACGCCGUAAACGAUGAGUACUAGCUGUCGGAGGUUACCCCCUUCGGUGGCGCAGCUAACGCAUUAAGUACUCCGCCUGGGGAGUACGCUCGCAGAGUGAAACUCAAAGGAAUUGACGG